UACGUAGGGGGCAAGCGUUGUCCGGAUUUAUUGGGCGUAAAGAGCGUGUAGGCGGCCUGGAAGGUCAGCUGUGAAAACUCGAGGCUCAACCUCGAGACGUCGGUUGAAACCACCUGGCUAGAGUCCGGAAGAGGAGAGUGGAAUUCCUGGUGUAGCGGUGGAAUGCGCAGAUAUCAGGAGGAACACCGAUGGCGAAGGCAGCUCGCUGGGACGGUACUGACGCUGAGGCGCGAAAGCGUGGGGAGCGAACAGG
rnacentral:rRNA from 1 species